GACGAACGCUGGCGGCGUGCUUAACACAUGCAAGUCGAACGGAAAGGCCCUGCUUUUGUGGGGUGCUCGAGUGGCGAACGGGUGAGUAACACUUGAGUAACCUGCCCUUGACUUUGGGAUAACUUCAGGAAACUGGGGCUAAUACCGGAUAGGAGCUCCUGCUGCAUGGUGGGGGUUGGAAAGUUUCGGCGGUUGGGGAUGGACUCGCGGCUUAUCAGCUUGUUGGUGGGGUAGUGGCUUACCAAGGCUUUGACGGGUAGCCGGCCUGAGAGGGUGACCGGCCACAUUGGGACUGAGAUACGGCCCAGACUCCUACGGGAGGCAGCAGUGGGGAAGAUUGCACAAUGGGCGGAAGCCUGAUGCAGCAACGCCGCGUGCGGGAUGACGGCCUUCGGGUUGUAAACCGCUUUCGCCUGUGACGAAGCGUGAGUGACGGUAAUGGGUAAAGAAGCACCGGCUAACUACGUG
rnacentral:rRNA from 1 species